rnacentral:rRNA from 1 species
CUCGUAGGCGGUUUGUCACGUCUGCUGUGAAAACCCGAGGCCCAACCUCGGGCUUGCAGUGGGUACGGGCAGACUAGAGUGCGGUAGGGGAGAUUGGAAUUCCUGGUGUAGCGGUGGAAUGCGCAGAUAUCAGGAGGAACACCGAUGGCGAAGGCAGAUCUCUGGGCCGUAACUGACGCUGAGGAGCGAAAGCAUGGGGAGCAAACAGGCUUAGAUACCCUGGUAGUCCAUGCCGUAAACGUUGGGAACUAGAUGUGGGGACCAUUCCACGGUCUCCGUGUCGUAGCUAACGCAUUAAGUUCCCCGCCUGGGGAGUACGGCCGCAAGGCUAAAACUCAAAGGAAUUGACGGGGGCCCGCACAAGCGGCGGAGCAUGCGGAUUAACUCGAUGCAACGCGAAGAACCUUACCAAGGCUUGACAUAUACGAGAACGCGCUGGAGACAGCGAACUCUUUGGACACUCGUAUACAGGUGGUGCAUGGUUGUCGUCAGCUCGUGUCGUGAGAUGUUGGGUUAAGUCCCGCAACGAGCGCAACCCUCGUCCUAUGUUGCCAGCACGUAAUGGUGGGAACUCAUGGGAUACUGCCGGGGUCAACUCGGAGGAAGGUGGGGAUGAGGUCAAAUCAUCAUGCCCCUUAUGUCUUGGGCUUCACGCAUGCUACAAUGGCCGGUACAAUGGGCUGCAAUACCGUAAGGUGGAGCGAAUCCCAAAAAGCCGGUCUCAGUUCGGAUUGAGGUCUGCAACUCGACCUCAUGAAGUCGGAGUCGC